UAUUUGAUGGCAACACUGUAUUUUGUUU
rnacentral:piRNA from 1 species